CUGAAGACCUGCGCGUGGCGGGCGAGUCCAGUUAGAAAUGGGAAGCCGCGGGAAAUGCCCCUUCUCCCACUCCACCCACCCACCCGCCGCCUCCCCCGCGCUGCGCCUCGGUGUCUUGUGCUACUGCUCCAGGUCUCCCUUAGCGCUCUGCGGAGUUCCUCAGCUCUCCGGGAUUUUCUCGUGUCCCUCCAGAGUCUUGUCCCGCCCCCCACCCCACUGGGAUCCUCUCCUUGUCCACCAGAGUCUCCCUUUAUCUUUUCCGCUGGGGCUUUCUCCGCCUGCCCCAAACUCUCUCCCAGGAAUGUUCUCUCACUUCCCUUUCGCUACCCUCUCUUCCCCUCUCCUCUGACUCCCCAUUUUCCAUUCGAACUCAUCUCCCCAGAGUGCUGCCCUGACCCCUCCCAAUCCCUGCCGCUCCACUGGGAUCCACCUUACCCCUAGGAGCUUUAUUCUUCUCCUGGCUGCCCUUUCUCCAGUGCUCAGGCUUUUUCUUAAGAACUUCCCUCCUUUUCCCAAGGGUAUCAUCCUCCCAAGAAUGCUGUGGACUCCCCAGCUCAAGACACAGCUCUUCUCCCAACGCACACCCCCUGGGCUCUCCGUACCAGCUUUGUCUCCUGGUCCAGAGGAAGCCAGGCUUGACGCUCCCCCUGAGAUCGGGGCCACUUGGACAUUCUCAUAGAGAGAGGAAGAGGAACAUCAAUGUGCGGUUGCCUCUCAUGUGGCCCCCACUGGGCACCUGGCUCGCAACCCAGGCAUGUGCCCUGACUGGGAAUUGAACCUGCAACCUUUUGGAUCACAGCCCGCACUCAAUCCACGGAGCUACACCAGCGAGAGAGAGGUGAAGAGAAGGAGCGUGAGAGGGAGAGGAUUGCCAACGUGUGGUUGCCUCUCGUACAC